rnacentral:lncRNA from 1 species
AGUAACAUAAACAGGUGUGCACCUGAAAGUUAUUUUUGAGAGCCAUUCAAAAUGUGAAACACAAUUGCUUCUGCACAUAUGUUUCUGGGGGACAGUAUCAUACUCAUUCUGAACUCUUCUUGUUUGCGCUUUUGGGUGUUGGGGAACAGGGAAGUCCCUAACCUGAUGUAAAGGUUAUAAACAUUGAGAAAAGCCCUGACCCUCUUGAAGUCAGUAGAAAAACUUUGGUUACAGUAGAUCCAGGAUUUCACCCUAUUGUUUGCAUUUUUGCUAAAGUACUAAUUAAUUUGACUAUAGCCUUUGCUUUUUUAGGGCGUGAGAUGUUAGAGACCUUUUAGGAGAGCUACUUUGCUGCUGCACCAAGGUCACAGACAAGGAACAAACUCAGCCUUACCUGGAAGUCAGUGGCAAAGCAUAAAGAGUCUGGACCUAGCCUAAACAAGGGUAAAGAGGUAGUAAUUACCUUCACAGCUGAGACAAAUCAUUUCCCUCUUCCUGGUGCCUCCAGCCAGCUUUACCUUGCAGAAUAGAAAGUGAAUAUACAGUACCUAGGAGAAGAAGUCACAGUGACUCCUCUUUCUGCUAGGGUAAGUCAGUAAAAUAAUCUCAAAAAAAUCUUUUUUAGUAGGCUGGGAAAAUGUGAUACCACCUCAUAAAACUUUUCACCUUUUGUAUAAAAGUCUUUUAUAAUUGUUAUUAGUACUAAUCCUGAUGGAUUGCAAUAGGUUUAUGUGAUAAAAUAUGAUGUAAUUUAGUUUAUAUUCAUUAAAAACUAAAGGUAUGAACUAGGUAUAACAUAAAGUAUGAUACAUUUCACAUGUAAUUUGGAAAGUAUCACAUCUACUGUAUCAAAGUUGUAAUUUUCCCAUUCUCUGCACUUAUGAGACAUGGCAAAUAUGUUACAACACUAAGACAAGAGUGAAUGUGAUCUUCUUUGAAAUGGUAAAAGAG